ACUCCUACGGGAGGCAGCAGUGGGGAAUCUUGGACAAUGGGCGCAAGCCUGAUCCAGCCAUGCCGCGUGAGUGAUGAAGGCCCUAGGGUCGUAAAAGCUCUUUCGCCAGGGAUGAUAAUGACAGUACCUGGUAAAGAAACCCCGGCUAACUCCGUGCCAGCAGCCGCGGUAAUACGGAGGGGUUAGCGUUGUUCGGAAUUACUGGGCGUAAAGCGCGCGUAGGCGGACUGGAAAAGUUGGGGGUGAAAUCCCGGGGGCUCAACCCCGGAACUGCCUCCAAAACUCCCAGUCUUGAGUUCGAGAGAGGUGAGUGGAAUUCCGAGUGUAGAGGUGAAAUUCGUAGAUAUUCGGAGGAACACCAGUGGCGAAGGCGGCUCACUGGCUCGAUACUGACGCUGAGGUGCGAAAGUGUGGGGGAGCAAACAGGAUUAGAUACCCUGGUAGGAUAGCG
rnacentral:rRNA from 1 species